UGCCAUGUAGCUCAGUUGGGAGAGCAAUCUACAAAAGAUAUGUCGGUGGUUCGAUUCUGCCCAUGGCAA
rnacentral:tRNA from 1 species